CUGCAUAUUCCUACAAUUUCUCAGAGUCCUGUGGACAAUGACUGGGGAGAUAAACCAUGCAG
rnacentral:snoRNA from 1 species